rnacentral:rRNA from 1 species
UAGAGUUUGAUCCUGGCUCAGAUUGAACGCUGGCGGCAUGCCUUACACAUGCAAGUCGGACGGCAGCGCGGGCUUCGGCCUGGCGGCGAGUGGCGAACGGGUGAGUAAUACAUCGGAACGUGUCCUGGAGUGGGGGAUAGCCCGGCGAAAGCCGGAUUAAUACCGCAUACGCUCUGCGGAGGAAAGCGGGGGACCUUCGGGCCUCGCGCUCAAGGGGCGGCCGAUGGCAGAUUAGCUAGUUGGUGGGGUAAAGGCCUACCAAGGCGACGAUCUGUAGCUGGUCUGAGAGGACGACCAGCCACACUGGGACUGAGACACGGCCCAGACUCCUACGGGAGGCAGCAGUGGGGAAUUUUGGACAAUGGGGGCAACCCUGAUCCAGCAAUGCCGCGUGUGUGAAGAAGGCCUUCGGGUUGUAAAGCACUUUUGUCCGGAAAGAAAGCGUCCUGGCUAAUACCCGGGGCGGAUGACGGUACCGGAAGAAUAAGCACCGGCUAACUACGUGCCAGCAGCCGCGGUAAUACGUAGGGUGCGAGCGUUAAUCGGAGUUACUGGGCGUAAAGCGUGCGCAGGCGGUUCGCUAAGACCGAUGUGAAAUCCCCGGGCUUAACCUGGGAACUGCAUUGGUGACUGGCGGGCUAGAGUAUGGCAGAGGGAGGUAGAAUUCCACGUGUAGCAGUGAAAUGCGUAGAGAUGUGGAGGAAUACCGAUGGCGAAGGCAGCCUCCUGGGCCAAUACUGACGCUCAUGC